rnacentral:lncRNA from 1 species
UCCACGAUACCAUUUCUUUAAGCUGAAUAAUACUAAAUAAUAAUACAUUCGAACUUAAUUUACAUACAUCAAAGUUUACUUCCCCAGGUACGUGACCUUUAAAUACAUUCCUUACAAUACUUGAAUAGAUACCAAUACAACUAUAACCAUUAACUCAUAAUACACACUUAUUCGAUCAGCUUUCCUUUUCCUUUGUUCGUGCCUGAGCCUUCAGGUUGCUCAUACAUAACUGAAAACAUUUAAUUUAAGCAAGGAUGAGCAUUUAAGUGCCCAGCAAGUAAUAGCAAUUAUAUAUAAGCUGAAAGAAUAUAAGUAUUCUCUUUACAUAACACUUCUACAACGAAUUGAAAGUUGUGAAGUAAUCUGUACUGAUAAAAAAUUCACAUAACAACUCUCUUUCAAAUUCUUUAAAUUUGGCUCUGGCUCUACCCUUGAAUAGGGUUUAAGAAACAUACUAUGAACAUUCUUUUCAUUUUCGAAAAGGUUUAGCGGAAUUCUAUCCUCAAACCGUCAUAACUUACGGGCACGGAGGGUGAUCAGCCCCGUUGUACCCUGUAUUGAUCAAUACUACAUAACUUGAACGAAAUUCAUCGCUCACUCUAUCCGCCUUGCGCAAAAAUCUUCCCAUAUAGGGAUGUUCAUACAUGCCUGGUUCCAAACCCGAAGGUUUUUAAUCUUGCUCAACAAUAAUAUGUAAUUCAACAUAUAUAUACGGGUAAUUGACAAAGGUGUAUCAACAUGUGAACAAAUGCCAUGAUUAUCCAAGUGGGGACACUUGUAUAACCAUUUAUAGAAAUCAAUGAACAGAAUAUAUAUCUGAGCUAACAUGUCGAUAAUCAAAGAGUACAUAAUCUGUACAGGGAUAGAAUAAUUCUGAAACUUCUUACUCAUGUCCAUUGCAUAAAGGAAGUGCAAAGGUAGGAUACUUGCCUGAUUCGCUGAUUACAAAUCUCAACUUAGGUUUUAUCUCUUUAUCACAACCUAUCAAUAAUCAGAUCAUUCGUUCGAUUAGAACAAUAUAUCUUAACACAUAGUACUGUCUAUUACAGUCAGCACAUAGUCUAAUCACAUUAUCACAGUGAUCAUACUUCUAGUUCCUAUUCUAUACUUGAAAAUAUUUUUAUACAUUUUUCAAAUAUCUCAUCCAUGCUCUUACAGUAGCCUUUUCUUUCUCUAUAAGGUCUGACAUUUGUCGGCGUACCGACAGCUUUAUCGGGUAAAUACUGAGUCUAAGACUCUUAUUCUAUACCUCAACAUCUGUAAAUAUCAGACAUCUUAUUUUUAAUCAUUUUCGCAAUUUCCAGAAAUUGAAAAAUUUAAAAUAAUUCAAAUCUGUCACUAAAGGGCCUAUAGUGAUAUAACUGUUACUAUAGGUGUUCUUCUUCAAAUUCAGAACUUCAUAAUCGGUUCUCAAGUCAGCUAGUUUGGCCGGCUAUAACUUUCAAAUAUCGGAAUCAUAAUUAAAUGAUUUAAACAUUAAACAAUUCCAUUAUCAUUAAUAGUUUAAUUAAUACUAAACUAUUAAUGAAACCAUUGCCAAAAUAUAAAAGUUAUUUAUAAUAACUCAAACUAUUUUUAAAACAUUUAUAUUACCCAAAUAAUUACCAUUAAUAUUUAAAUAUUAAUGUACUAUUUAUCCAAAUAUUAAAAGUCAUUAAUUAUAACUUAAAAUAUUUUUAAAUCCUUAAUAUCCUCUUUAAAUGGUUUUUAAAUAAGUAAAACCAUUUUUAAACUAUUUAUUUAAUAUUAAUCAUUAAAUAAACUAAAUAUCAUUAAUAUUAUCUUAAUAUCAUUAAUAUUUAAUUAUUAAUGAAAUUAUCAUUUAAAUAUUAAAAGUUAUAUUUUAUAACUUAAAAUAUUUUUAAAUACCUUAUUUUCAUUUAAAAUGAUUUUUAUAAUAUUAAAAUCAUUUUUAAACUAAAUUAUUUAAUAUAAUCAUUAAAUAACUUUAAUAUCAUUAAUAAUUAUUAAUUAAUGAAAUUCAUCACAAAAUAUUAAAAGUCAUCACAAAUAACUCAUUUACAUAAUCAAUUCCAAGCCAAAAUAAACAUAGUAAACUAACUAGUUUAUUAACAACACUAACUAAACUUCAAAAAUUCAAACUUUAACUAACAAUUAAAAAUAAUAACAUUACAAAAAUUAAAUAAGAAACAUACCCGGAAAUACGAAUUCCACAGACUGAAUACGCACUUCCACGCCAAAAUUUAACUAAGGAGAUCUUUAUAAAAAGU